rnacentral:siRNA from 1 species
AGGGCGACCUCAAUGAUGCACCAC